rnacentral:lncRNA from 1 species
GAGAGAGCCGUGGGGAGCAUGGCAGUAACCAGCCUUUUCCUACAGUCCCUACUCCAGUUCCUGCCUCCGAGUUCCUGCUCUGCUUGUGAGCCUGCCUUGGUUGUCCUCAGCGAUGGACCAUGAUCAGGGAUAUAUAGAGUGUCUCUAUGCUCUCACAAGAGGAGAACCUGUGAAACAGGGCAGAACUGACUAUCUGCAGACUUGACCUGAAAGAUCCAUGUGAGUCAGACAGCGAGAGCCUGGUCCUGACUCCUCCGUGCAGAAGCAGUUGUGAAACUUCUGGAAACCACAGUUCCUGUGUCCCCAUCAACUGUAGCACACACCCAUCGGGUCGGCCACUGAUGGUUCGUCUGCCCUGCAGUCAGCCUGAGAGUUAAGAAAGGGCUCUGCCUCAUCCAUCAAUUCUUACCCUGUGCCCAGAUCUGGCCUGCACACAGGGGUGCGCUAUACAUCUCUGUGGUGAGGAACUCAGCCUGUCAAUCCCCACCUGCAUCAGAGUAAGGAAGCUGCAAAUAAACUCUCUGCUAGGAGAGAGCUCAGCAACUCCACCUUGAUGUCAAACUAACAUGCAAAACUAGCCCCGGGUCUGAGAUAUAAGAAAGAUUUGGGUUUCGAACUUCAAAGAACAGCCAGGACUCCGGUGAGCAGGAUCCAUGGUUUCUUUGAAAGUUACUCUUAGGAACAAAUGAAGGAGAGAAGCUAAGUGGUGGCUGUCGAUCUGAGACGUGCCAGGUUCCACCUGGGUACCUCACACACUGCAUCUCUGUGAGCUUUGAAGAAUGUGGGAAGCACCUGCCUUAUGGGGAUUGGAAGAGCAAAGGUUGACAGGUCUGCGGUGGUCCCGGGAUAUAGGUCAGCUGUUCAGAAGUGUGCCCAACAUGUUAAAUGCUGGUUUCCUGGGCUCUCUGUCACUCUCAUCUCAGAGAUCUUGGGGCCUGAGUGUGAGAGACAAGUAACAGAAAGAUGAACGGAGAAGGACAAAUACAGAGGAUGCACUAUUUAUUUCCUGGGACCUUGCUUCUGUUGUACCUUGUUAAUCCUACGCUGUGGGUUGAAUUGAUGCUUUACAAGCUCACAAUAUACAGUUUUAUGAGUCC